AUUGAACGCUGGCGGCAGGCCUAACACAUGCAAGUCGAACGGUAACAGGAAGCAGCUUGCUGCUUCGCUGACGAGUGGCGGACGGGUGAGUAAUGUCUGGGAAACUGCCUGAUGGAGGGGGAUAACUACUGGAAACGGUAGCUAAUACCGCAUAACGUCGCAAGACCAAAGAGGGGGACCUUAGGGCCUCUUGCCAUCGGAUGUGCCCAGAUGGGAUUAGCUAGUAGGUGGGGUAACGGCUCACCUAGGCGACGAUCCCUAGCUGGUCUGAGAGGAUGACCAGCCACACUGGAACUGAGACACGGUCCAGACUCCUACGGGAGGCAGCAGUGGGGAAUAUUGCACAAUGGGUGCAAGCCUGAUGCAGCCAUGCCGCGUGUAUGAAGAAGGCCUUCGGGUUGUAAAGUACUUUCAGCGGGGAGGAAGGGAGUAAAGUUAAUACCUUUGCUCAUUGACGUUACCCGCAGAAGAAGCGCCGGCUAACUCCGUG
rnacentral:rRNA from 1 species